CGCGGACCAGUCAGAGUCAGUGAGUGUUGUGUCGUCUGUGUGUGUCCCUGAUGAUGCAGCCGCCCUGUCGCGGGCGAGCCACGCUCGUCCAGAAAUAGGAACAUUAAAGCCAGCAUGGCAACCCAUUCGUCUUCGGAAUCAUGGUCGGGCACGCCCGGCGCCGACGUCGUCGACCUCGACAAGUUCAUGCGCGGCGUGCGCCCGCACCGCCCCGCUCAACGCUACGACAACAGAAACGAGCUGGUGGUGGACAGCGGCGGGCUGUCGCGCAAGCCGCCGAGCUCGAGCUCGAGCGCGCGCUCGCUGCGCGCGCCCGCGCCUGCGCCUGCGCACCACAAGCGCUUCUCGCACGACUCCGGCGUCUCCGACGGCAGCUACGCCAAGAAACGCACGCGGCCGCAUCGGCGGUACAGCGUAGCAGAGAGCGCGGGCAUAAAGGCCAAGCGCGAGUCGGCGACGCGCGCGAGCUCCACCGGCUCCAUGCGCGCCUUCCGCGCCGCGUGCGAGCGCACGCUGCGCGACCAGCAGCGCCAGCUGGCCAGGGUGGCGUUGCUGUGCGAGCGGCUGGGCGAGCGGCGCGAGCGCUCGGAGUCGGAGCGCUCGGAGCCCAGCGAGCUGUCCUCCUCCAGCCGCAGCACGCGCGACCCGCGCCGCAGGGACAAGACCAGGGCCCAAGAAUGCAAAACGUACAAGAUAAUCAUGUCAAAGUUGGACGAGCUGAAUCGCGUGUUCAUGACGCGUCGCUCGCCUCCCGCCCCAGCGCCCGCGCGGCGCCGCGCCCCCUCCUCCGCGUCCGUGUCCGUAUCCAACAAGCUGGUCGCCACGGACGACCACAACGUCGGCAAGCUGAUAGCCCCCAGGCAGAAGGUAACGAAACGAGUGGAGACGGACCGGCAGCUGGUCGAGCGAGCGGUGGGCGAGGCCCCGAGCGAGCGGCACGAGCGAAACGACCGCUCCGCUCGCCUCGCCAACCUGCAAGCGGUGAAGAACGCUUAUUUGUUAGAUAUAGCGCCGCAGGAGGCGGUCUGCAAGAUAUACCCCAAUAUUGCUACUGAAAGUGUGGUGAAGCGAGGGUCCAGUAACGAAGGGUCGCGGACGAGUCUCAAUGUCAGUGGUUUCGAUGUUGAUAACCAUAUGCAGUUAUACGCGCAAGCGGCGCGUCUUCAAGCACUACAUAUGACGUCGCGGCGCGCGCGCAGUUCGGAGCCCGCGCCGUCGUUCCCGCGGAGUGCGAGGGGCGCGGGCGCGGGCGCGGGGGCGGGGGCGGGGGCGGGGGAGUGGCAGGGGGCGGGACGUAAGGCUGGAGGCGUGUCGCUGUGCGGGCUGUGCAAGCAGUACUGGCAGUCGCUGCGCGGGUACCUGGCUGCGCAGAAUUCCAUCAAGAAGUGUCUGGCCGAAAGCCGUCAAAUUAGCGACGAAAAAACCCAGUAUGACGUGACAGCAAGUCAGAAGCAGAACAAAAGAAAUUUUCGGCAUGAACUCGGCAAAAUUAUGUGUGAAUUAACGAACAUCAUGUAGGGAGGACGCGCUCUCCGCAGGCCACGAACGAAUAUGAAUUACUCUCGGUCCGGUAUCUGGUGGCUCAUUUGCCUCCUCAUACAAGUGGUUGGUGCUCUCGGCUGCAAAAAGAAGCCUCGCUGUCGGCCGCCGCGUUGCCCGGGCGGCUGCAGACCCAGAUACUGGUGAUUUAAGAAGACCUUCGGCGCUGCCGCAUGAAAGAUAUCAAGUCAUAAAUAAAUAUUAUGUGGCAGUGGACGGAGCUGGUGUGGGUGCUCUGGUUUGUGUUGUUGUCGGCGGCCGGCGCCGACGGCUGCAAGAAGAAGACCAUCUGCCGACCGCCGCCGGGGGGCAAGCCUGGCUGCGGGGGCAGGGGGCGCUGAUCGUUGUCGGACUAGACCAAGUUGCAGUUCCCCGGACCAGCUAAUUCAGCUACAUGGGAGUGGAAAUGUACAUAUAAAAGUCAAUAACGUGAAAAUGUACAAAUAAAACAUGGCAUAAU